CAUUAGCACUUCCUUUUCCUACUUGCAGACUGCUGGUAGCUUCUGCACUGCCAACAACCUCUUCUGACUCUCCUUGUGGCUCUUCAGACUCAAUCUCCAACUCCGCUCCUAAAGGGGAAGCGAGAAGAUGGGGCUAGUCGCCUACUUCAGCCUCUGCCUCCUCGGCUGCCUGAUCUGCAGCCACUCGCUAGCAGCACCACCUCUCUCUGCAGGGGCACAAGCUGUGGCAUGUCCUACAGGCUGGUUCUCCUUCCACGACACCUGCUAUCGAUUCUUCUACCAAGAGAAAAACUGGAUGGAGGCUGAGGUGAGAGGCUGGGGC